UUCGCAGCUCGCUGUUUUUGUUGUUGUAUGGUAUUGAUGUUUUGCCUUCAUUUGUUUUGUCUGGUCCUUUGUAGUUUGAAUGUUGUCACAUGAUCCAAAUAGGACAAAGUUGUAAUUUUUUCUUGAUAUUGUUCCUCUGCUUAGCUAUAUAGUUUUUCAUUAUUAUUUUUUUUUUUUACUAGCUCCAAGAUCACCACCCCAUUGGGAAGAAACUAAAUCACGACCCCCAAAUGGUAGUCUUCCCAUGCAGAAACAGGGAUGUCAUACAGAUCCAAAUGGAAACAUCGAACACUGUAAAACCCACUGUGCAGACAGGACCAAUGGUGACAAUAUAAGACCAUGCCGAGCUUCAUGAACGGUUCAAACUCAUCCUGCCCAGGAACGGCUGAUUAUGUAUUUUUCAGGGAAGGACCAUAUUUGUGGCUGACCCCUAUGUUGUUGCAACAUGGUGAAAGCCUACAGGAUGUGACCCACACAUGCAUUUGCCUAAAACGUUGACAGUCAAUCAACAGGGGGACAUGGAAAGAGAGGAUUGGAAGUGAAAUAGAGGGUUUUCCGGGACAGCCAUAGGGGAAGGACUGUGGCAUCUUCAUGUUGAUGACUGAUAUGCCAACUCUGAGGAAGUGGUGGUGUAUAUUGCUAGCGGACAAUUUCAAACUUGGGAGCAUGCCACAGGAAAGAGUUUGCCCAUUGGACAGAUGAGGCAAAAGCAUUACUGCAGGGUGAAGUGCCACCAGUCUAUCAGUUACAGAAGUGAAAUUUGAAUAUAAUUGCUGAGGAAGAGGUGCAACCACAGCUCCUUCAAGUUAGUGGUGGCCCACUCCAAAAAGAUAUGGCGGGAAAAAAUGUUUUGGUAAAAGGAUUGUGCAAGACAGCACAAAAGCCUCAGACAGGGC